UGACACGUGCUCUGGAGGAAACCUAGG
rnacentral:piRNA from 2 species